UACGGGGGGAGCAAGCGUUGUUCGGAUUUACUGGGCGUAAAGGGCGCGUAGGCGGCCAGCACAAGUCAGUUGUGAAAUCUCCGAGCUUAACUCGGAAAGGUCAACUGAUACUGUGCGGCUAGAGUGCGGAAGGGGCAACUGGAAUUCUUGGUGUAGCGGUGAAAUGCGUAGAUAUCAAGAGGAACACCUGCGGCGAAGGCGGGUUGCUGGGCCGACACGUGACGCUGAUGCGCGAAAGCGUGGGUAGCAAACAGG
rnacentral:rRNA from 1 species